UACUUCUUGUACAAGCACUAUGCUAAAACUGCACAAGUUGGGGUAUUUCCUUGGCUUUUGUGGUAAUGCUAGCACGGUACACACAGGAAGAAGAAGAAAUGCACUGCGUCAAAAUGACUUGGGUGGACCUCUUUCUUAAUGUCCAGUGUCCUAGUCUGGAGACUUGGUGCAACACUA